UACGUAGGGGGCAAGCGUUGUCCGGAUUUAUUGGGCGUAAAGAGCGUGUAGGCGGCUUGACAAGUCUGCUGUGAAAACUCGAGGCUCAACCUCGAGAUGUCGGCGGAAACUGUCUGGCUAGAGUCCGGAAGAGGAGAGUGGAAUUCCCGGUGUAGCGGUGAAAUGCGCAGAUAUCGGGAAGAACACCCGUGGCGAAGGCGGUUCUCUGGGACGGUACUGACGCUGAGACGCGAAAGCGUGGGGAGCGAACAGG
rnacentral:rRNA from 1 species